AUUUUAUAUGAAGAAAGAAUAUGUUAAACUAUCUAUUAUAAAAUGACUAAUAGUUAAAAUUAAAAGUCGAUUAAUCAUAUUUUGAAUAUUCCAAAGGAUUUCGAAUGUGAAAUUGAUCGUUAAUUAGACUAUAAAUAUGGUGUUGAAGUUUGAUAUUAAAAUCGAAGUAAAAAUAUAUAAAAUUUUUCUGAACUAUGAAUCAGUUUGAAUCAGUUAUUCAAUUUUUCAAACUUUUAUUUUUACCAUCCAACCUUUCUAUAAAUUAAAUUUGAGUCAGCCAAUAAUGUUUUGACUUCAAAAUUUGAAUGUAUCGUUUAGUUUUACAAAUUUAGUUAGUAUACUUGUAAUAACUGAGAUAUUUCAUUUAUUGAUUAAACCCUUUUGUUU
rnacentral:lncRNA from 1 species